rnacentral:rRNA from 1 species
CAGUAGCCGCGGUAAUACAGAGGGUGCGAGCGUUAAUCGGAUUUACUGGGCGUAAAGCGUGCGUAGGCGGCUUUUUAAGUCGGAUGUGAAAUCCCUGAGCUUAACUUAGGAAUUGCAUUCGAUACUGGGAAGCUAGAGUAUGGGAGAGGAUGGUAGAAUUCCAGGUGUAGCGGUGAAAUGCGUAGAGAUCUGGAGGAAUACCGAUGGCGAAGGCAGCCAUCUGGCCUAAUACUGACGCUGAGGUACGAAAGCAUGGGGAGCAAACAGGAUUAGAUACCCCCGUAGUCCCUGUCUCUUAUAA